GCGCCGGUAGUGUAGCCUGGUAUCACAUAGGCUUGCCAAGCCUAUAACCCGGGUCCAAAUCCCGGUCGGCGCA
rnacentral:tRNA from 4 species